GACGUAGGGCGCGAGCGUUGUCCGGAUUUAUUGGGCGUAAAGAGCUCGUAGGCGGUGUGUCGCGUCGGCCGUGAAAACCUGCAGCUUAACUGUGGGCUUGCGGUCGAUACGGGCAUCACUGGAGUUCGGCAGGGGAGACUGGAAUUCCUGGUGUAGCGGUGAAAUGCGCAGAUAUCAGGAGGAACACCAAAGGCGAAGGCAGUGUCCUGGGGAGUACCUGACGCUCAGGUGCGAAAGCCAGGG
rnacentral:rRNA from 1 species